UACGUAGGGUGCAAGCGUUGUCCGGAAUCAUUGGGCGUAAAGCGCGCGUAGGUGGUCAUGUAAGUCCGCUGUGAAAAGUCAAAAGGCUCAACCCUUUGAAAAGCCGGUGGAUACUGCAUGACUAGAGUACGGAAGAGGCGAGUGGAAUUCCUGGUGUAGCGGUGGAAUGCGCAGAUAUCAGGAGGAACACCAAUAGCGAAGGCAGCUCGCUGGGACGUUACUGACACUGAGGCGCGAAAGCGUGGGGAGCGAACAGG
rnacentral:rRNA from 1 species